CCUACGGGAGGCUGCAGUGGGGGAUAUUGCACAAUGGGGGAAACCCUGAUGCAGCGACGCCGCGUGUGGGAAGACGGUCCUCUGGAUUGUAAACCACUGUCCCCAGGGACUAAGAUGACGGUACCUGGGGAGGAAGCUCCGGCUAACUACGUGCCAGCAGCCGCGGUAAUACGUAGGGAGCGAGGGUUGUCCGGAAUUACUGGGUGUAAAGGGAGCGUAGGCGGGGAUGAAAGUUGGGUGUAAAAACUACCGGCUCAACUGGGAGUCGCACUGCAAACUGCAGCUCUUGAGUGCAGUAGAGGCAGGCGGAAGUCCUAGUGUAGCGGUGAAAUGCGUAGAUAUUAGGAGGAACACCAGUGGCGAAGGCGGCCUGCUGGGCUUUUACUGACGCUGAGGCUCGAAAGUGUGGGGAGCAAACAGGAUUAGAUACCCCUGUAGUC
rnacentral:rRNA from 1 species